CAGUUUAGUGUGGAGGAUACCAAGAAAAAAACUGCACUAAGAUUUGUUGAGAAUCGUAAAUGUGUCCAUGCUCCAGUUGCUGACUUCAGAGACUUCCACCGUUUCUUUUGCAGUAAUAUCCAGGCUGGACUUGGCUCUCUUUUCAUUCUUCUCCUUUUACAGCGCAGGUCCCUACCUAACUUCUUCCCUCUGCUCGUCCCCCCGGGCCUACGUCUGCUCAUCCAAUCUGCCCCUGAUAGUUAAAGCAGUGGAUAUCUCAGGAGAGAUGCUACUGGUGGAUGUGUACGCCUCUCUUUAAUUCGGGGGCCAAGCGUCUGAGUGCAGUGGCAGCACAUUCCUCGUGGCCCAGCCAGUCAAGAGUGUUCCCAGGACCGAGGGCCCCUGAGCUAAGAUCUAAUCUGGCUUCCUGUGGGAACGAGGGGCCAGAGGACCGCCAGCGCCAGCCCUUUGCCAAUCAGCUCCAGCCUGAAAAGUGUGGGGGCCUUGGAGAGAAAUGAAGCACAUUACCCCCCUGCGCUCGGAUAACAGUGGAAAUGAACGGUCAGUUCACACACCUGGUAGAGCUCAAUCCUCUGCUCGUUUCUCUUGGCGCUGGAGUUGGGGAUCCUCAGGGCUCUGAACUCGGCCCUGAACAAGUUUGUGGAGUUUUUCUCCAUAGUUGAGACGUUGAAGCGGAAUACCUUGGAGGUGAUACCCUUAGGACAGUAGGAGAGGUCAUCUGCAGGUAAAGAGGAAAUCAUGUGAUUAAAUAGCUUAUGAUGGAACUCUAAUUAUCUGGAAGAAAUCCUUUAUCCUUGAUCCAUCUGUUACUUUGCUGUGUGUAUUUCAUCGGACAUCCCUGCAGGGGUGGACGUGUUUACUCUCGGAUUAUUGAUGACUUUCUAACUGAGGAUUUCCCUUUUCACCUUUAGGAAGUUUACAGAUUAAAAAAACCUUCAGUAUUUCUAACUAUUUCAAGUUCUUUCCAGAGGGACAUGGGCCAUUAGUGUGAGCCAUCUGCUUUUGCUUUGUGCCGUCCAAGUUAGCAACAAGUUGAAGUCAUGAAAUGAAAACCAAAUGUCCCAUGUGGUGGUGGUGGAGCAAUCUGCGGUGGGACAGCAGCAGCAGCCCCCCCCUCCUCCUUUUCCCUUCAACUCGUGAGCCCAACAGGUGCUCCAAGGGCUCGGACAGCGGCCAAGUAUUCCCCUUGAACCAUGAGGAGCAUGUGGGCUCACGUGCUGGAGCAGAACAAUACCUGAGGAACCGCAGCGGAGGGGGGACACGAUUAAUGCAACUGAGUGCAGGCUUGAAAAGAGGUAACUGUAUACAUGAUGUGUGUCUGUGUUUGUGUGUUUUACGCUGACCUUUAGCAGACUCAGUGUAAUA